GGGGGAGGACCUGCUGAGAGAGCGCCAGAGUUAGAUGCAGCCUGAGCCACUGUGGUGACAGCCACAGCCCAGGGGACAUUCUGGAGGUAGAAAUGGUGCGUGUGGCUUGAUUGGCUGGGAGACAGGCUGUCUUGUGAAUAGUCUCUUCACAGGGAGACUGGUGCCUGCCAGGGGCGGGGGUGCAGGAAGGGCCACCCAGAGGGACUGGAGAGGGCACGAGAAAGCACCCAUCUGGUAAUUUAAGAUUUUUGAUUCGGGGAGCAGAGGGCGAUCGGGUAGUAACUCAGGUCUCUUGCCGGACCCCACCUUCUGCACUCAUCGUGCCAGAGGAACAGCCUUGAAAGACUUUUUACCCAGGGAGGGGAAAACUACAGUGAUCUGACCACAGGAUCAAGCCAGGAAGAGGGAGCAUCCCGAGUUACAAAGAGGGAGCCAUUGCGCCCAGGGCAGAGGGAUGGAGCGAAGGAGCGGCAUCACUCUGGUUGAGUUAGCUCUCAGAUGAGCCACCAGGAGGCGCUGCAGCUGAGAGUGGGGAGCACUGUUUCAGAACCACUUACUUUCUCCUCUUUUGUUUUUAAAAGUCAAACAAAGUAAAUUCAAAACAAAAUGUGGCUGAAACGUGCGUAGAAAGAAAAACGUGAAACUCCUUGUUCCAAAAAUGUCAAAAUGGGGUCUUCUACCAUAAGACUUCUUUCCAGUUCCUUUAAAAAAUAUUUCAUAAAAUUUCACAUGUUAACUAAAAUGGCAUUUUCUAAUGGAAAGCUGUAUUAACCAAAACCUUCCCCAGCAGCUCUAAUUAAAAGAUGAGUGAACAGGAGCGGCCAGUUUCUGGCUUUA